CAGGACGAACGCUGGCGGCGUGCCUAACACAUGCAAGUCGAACGGGGAUUUGUUUCGGCAGAAUCCUAGUGGCGAACGGGUGAGUAACGCGUAGGCAACCUGCCCUCCGGCCGGGGACAACACUCCGAAAGGGGUGCUAAUACCGGAUACGAAGUCUGUGCCGCAUGGUACGGAUUUGAAAGAUGGCCUCUAUUUAUAAGCUAUCGCCGGGGGAUGGGCCUGCGUCCGAUUAGCUGGUUGGUGGGGUAACGGCCUACCAAGGCGACGAUCGGUAGCCGGUCUGAGAGGAUGAACGGCCACAUUGGGACUGAGACACGGCCCAGACUCCUACGGGAGGCAGCAGUGGGGAAUCUUCCGCAAUGGGCGCAAGCCUGACGGAGCAACGCCGCCGUGAGUGAGGAAGUUCUUCGGAACGUAAAGCUCUGUUGUUCCUGACGAACCUCCCCUCUAUCAACAACGGAGGGGACUGACGGUAGGGAACGAGGAAGCCACGGCUAACUACGUGCCAGCCGCCGC
rnacentral:rRNA from 1 species